rnacentral:rRNA from 1 species
GACGAACGCUGGCGGCGUGCCUAAUACAUGCAAGUAGAACGCUGAAGGAGGAGCUUGCUUCUCUGGAUGAGUUGCGAACGGGUGAGUAACGCGUAGGUAACCUGCCUGGUAGCGGGGGAUAACUAUUGGAAACGAUAGCUAAUACCGCAUAAUAGUAGAUGUUGCAUGACAUUUACUUAAAAGGUGCAAUUGCAUCACUACCAGAUGGACCUGCGUUGUAUUAGCUAGUUGGUGGGGUAACGGCUCACCAAGGCGACGAUACAUAGCCGACCUGAGGGGGUGAUCGGCCAAACUGGGACUGAGACACGGCCCAGACUCCUACGGGAGGCAGCAGAAGGGAAUCUUCGGCAAUGGACGAAAGUCUGACCGAGAAACGCCGGGUGAGUGAAGAAGGUUUUGGGAUCGUAAAGCUCUGUUGUAAGAGAAGAACGAGUGUGAGGGGGGAAAGUUCAACCUGUGACGGUAUUUUACCAAAAAGGGACGGCUAACUCCGU